ACCUGGUUGGUCCUGCUAGUAGUCAUAUGCUUGUCUCAAAGAUUAAUCCAUGCAUGUAUAAGUAUGAACUAAUUCAGACUGUGAAACUGCGAAUGGCUCAUUAAAUUAGUUAUAGUUUGUUUGAUGGUACCUGCUACUAGGAUAACAAUAGUAAUUCUAGAGCUAAUACGUGCAACAAACUCCGACUCUUGGAAGGGAUACAUUUAUUAGAUAAAAGGUCGACACGGGCUCUGCUCGUUGCUACGAUGAUUCAUGAUAACUCGACGGAUCGCACGACCCUCGUGCCGGUGACGCAUCAUUCAAAUUUCUGCCUUAUCAACUUUCGAUGGUAGGAUAGUGGCCUACUAUGGUGGUGACGGGUGACAGAGAUUUAGGGUUCGAUUCCGGAGAGGGAGCCUAAGAAACGGCUACCACAUCCAAGGAAGGCAGCAGGCGCGCAAAUUACCCAAUCCUGACACGGGGAGGUAGUGACAUUAAAUAACAAUACCUGGCUCCUAGAGUCUCGUAAUUGGAAUGAGUACAAUCUAAAUCCCUUAAUGAGGAUCCAUUGGAGGGCAAGUCUGGUGCCAGCAGCCGCGGUAAUUCCAGCUCCAAUAGCGUAUAUUUAAGUUGUUGUAGUUAAAAAGCUCGUAGUUGGACUUUGGGUUGUGUCGGCCGGUCCCCCUCACGGUGUUCACCGGUCGUCUUGUCCCUUCUGCCGGCGAUGCGCUCCUGGUCUUAACCGGCCGGGUCGUGCCUACGGCGCUGUUACUUUGAAUAAAUUAAAGUGCUCAAAGCAAGCCUACGCUCUGGAUAUUAGGGUUUGUAUACUAGAAAUCACCUUUCGAGUGAUUGAAUACUGUAAAACUCUAAUAAUUAUAUGCAACAGAUUAUUUUUGUCAUAAUGUUGUUAUGUUUUACAUUUAAUGGAUGUUUAUUGCAUAUUUAAAUGUAUAAGCGAACAUAACAUAAGUCUAAAUCUUUGCUCUAGUAGACCGGUUGUGGGCUGCGCUCAAUUUAAGGUACGCGGUCAGUUCUGAACAAAGAAAAAUAAGAAUUUCACAACCCAGAUAGACCUAGACUACCUAUCGUGAAACGUUGCAAUGUCAAUCCGAUUAUUUCUAAGCCUUAUUGAAAUAUGAUGACGUUGGUGUGGUAUAGCACUGAAUGGAUCUGAUAGCAAGACGAGUCUUUAUGCUAUCUACUGAAAGGCGAGGUCUUGAUAAUUAAUUUCUUAAUCAAUGUACGUUAGCAUUGAGCAUACGAUAUUGAGCAUCUACUACUUUGACUUACCAAAGGUGCGGGUUUUUCAUCACCCAACGAUCCAGGUAUAUUGGGUAGUGGUGAUCAUUAUCUAGCGGUGCUAGGAUUGCUAUUAUGUUGAAUCAUGCGCGAGGAGAGUCUCGUUUGAUAACAUCCACAAGAGGAGCUCGAAACAAGGUUUUAUUAUUCGGAACCUAGCUAGUUAGAGUUUAAUUACCCUAUGAAUAAUAAAUAAGAGUUUCUUGCUAAGUCCACUCUUGGAGAAUAAAAUAUGUUAAUUAAUUAAGUCCAUAGCAGACAUUAAUUAAUUAAUGGAUGUUUCUAUCUUAAGCGCGGGAAAUGAAUUAAACAGAUAAAAGGAAACCCGGAAUACUUGUAAUUUCGGAUUUGAAAGGCAGUGCAAUAUUACUUCUGUAGUGACUGCUUGUAAUAUUCCAAUAUAAGCUUAUAUUAAAUUGUGGGUUCAAUUUAAUUAGUAAAAAGCUAAUUGGGUGAGGCCAUGUCCAAAUUCUUCCUUAGAUCCCUGACUGGGCCCAAUAUGUGACUUAAUAUAAAUAGGAGAAUAAAUGAGACAGAAAACAUAAUUAUUAUUGCUAGAAUUUUCGUCCCCCUCUAGAAAGAGAGAGAAUUCGAAAAUUGCUCCCUCUGUGAGCUGAGUUCUGUCUUUAUUAUUCGAGUCCUAGUAUUCUGGUGAGAUUUGCCCACACAAAUAUCAGUAUACAGUCUGGGACACCAGGCAGAAGAUCAGAGGUCGAGUACUGAAGAUCUUCACGUGGAGACGGAGCAAGCCAUCAUCGAUUCUUGAUUGAAUCAAUGAGGUAAAUUGGCUAAUUCCGUACUGAGCAUGUUUUAGGGAUUUUAUAAGCUAAAGCAUGUUUUAAUUCAAGUUAUGAGGAUGAUACAAGUGAUAAUUACGCGAAUAGAAUUUGUCUAAAUAAUCUGCUAAAUAUAUCAAAUUUAUGUGAUCGGAUUUCAUGCACGCUUCCGCUGCCAACCCCUUCAAUUGGUAUCAGAGCCAGUCUUUGGCUCUGAUUAUUUGGAUUUAAAUUUCGCAAAAUUCAUGUAUGCAUGUAUUAUUUGAUUGCGAAGCAUGUUUUUUGGUGUUUUGUUUAAUUAAUUAUGCAUGAUGAACUCAA
rnacentral:rRNA from 11 species